rnacentral:rRNA from 1 species
GAGACAGCAGCCGCGGUAACACGAAGGGUGCAAGCGUUACUCGGAAUUACUGGGCGUAAAGCGUGCGUAGGUGGUGGUUUAAGUCCGUUGUGAAAGCCCUGGGCUCAACCUGGGAAUUGCAGUGGAUACUGGGUCACUAGAGUGUGGUAGAGGAUAGUGGAAUUUCCGGUGUAGCAGUGAAAUGCGUAGAGAUCGGAAGGAACAUCUGUGGCGAAGGCGACUAUCUGGGCCAACACUGACACUGAGGCACGAAAGCGUGGGGAGCAAACAGGAUUAGAGACCCCCGUAGUCCCUGUCUCUUAUACACA